UACGUAGGCAGCAAGCGUUGUUCGGAGUUACUGGGCGUAAAGGGUGUGUAGGCGGUUGGAUAAGAGUGGUGUGAAAUCUCCCGGCUUAACUGGGAGGGUGCGCUACAGACUGUAUGACUAGAGUACGGUAGAGAGGGGUGGAAUUCCUGGUGUAGCAGUGAAAUGCGUAGAUAUCAGGAGGAACAUCGAUGGCGAAGGCAGCCCCUUGGACCUGUACUGACGCUCAUGCACGAAAGCGUGGGGAGCAAACAGG
rnacentral:rRNA from 1 species